rnacentral:rRNA from 1 species
AACGAACGCUGGCGGCAUGCCUAAUACAUGCAAGUCGAACGAGACCUUCGGGGCAAGUGGCGCACGGGUGCGUAACGCGUGGGAGUAUGCCGUAAGGAUCGGAAUAACACGUCGGAAGGGGCUCUAAUAACGGGGAACGUAUUGGGGAUAAAGAUUUAUCGCGUUAGGAUGGGACCGCGUUGGAUUAGGUAGUUGGUAGGGUAAAAGCCGACCAAGGCGACGGUUCAUAGCUGGUCAGAGAGGAUGAUCAGCCACACUGGGACUGAGACACGGCCCAGACUCCUACAGGAGGCAGCAGUGGGGAAUAUUGGACAAUGGGCGAGAGCCUGAUCCAGCAAUGCCGCGUGAGUGAUGAAGGCCUUAGGGUUGUAAAGCUCUUUUACCCGGGAGGAUAAUGACAGUACCGGGAGAAUAAGCUCCGGCUAACUCCGUG